rnacentral:lncRNA from 1 species
CCAGUAUUUAAAAUAGUUACAAUUGUCUUAGUUUCUUCUUUAAGUCAAUACAAAACAAGAAUGUGUCCAUAGUACACAGAUGCCCCACUCGCACUUUCAUUUUCUAUUUUCAGUGCACCGUGAAAUUGGGGUCAAAACUCUUGUUUGGCAUUAAAAUGAGAAAGAUUAUAUUGUAGGGAACAUGUGUACUAAGUUUCUAGCUGAUUGGACUUCAACUUCAUCAAGAACUAUCUUGACCAAAAACUUUAACCUGAAUUAAACGGACAAACGAACGCAGACCAGAAAACAUAAUGCCCAUAAACAUGAAAAAUGGGGCAUAAAAACCACAAUCUGUCUUUCAUAUGUUUUCGCAAUUAGAUAUGUCAUGUAUGUGUUAGGGUAUACAAACUUGAAUAAGGAAAAUGCAGAUAAAAUAUCUUCUUGGGUACUUUGUGAUUAGUAACUACAACAAAUGUUAAGUGGCAUUUCAGGUCAAGUAUAAAAGAGUCUGUAUUUGAGGUCAAAAUUUGGUAAAACUUCAGAUCAUUUUGUCAACUUUCAUAAUUAAUCUCCAUUGUUGACCUUCUUCAGAUGUGAAUGUGAACAAUGUAUAUAAAUAGCUUGUCAAAAUAGGUCUAUUUCACUUAGUAUCAUAAACAUCUUUUCUUCAACCUGAAAAGUUUUUAUCUUGGUUGACCAUUGGUAACAUGGGGCUAAAUAUGACUUUUACCAAACUUAUUCCUUUCAAUAGUAUAUAUAUAUGACAUCAUCAUGACAAUGGUUACAAAAAGAUAUCUUAGCAUGGUAAAUGUCCUAAUUAUAUCAAUCUAUUAAUUAAUUUUUAAAUAAAGAGAUUGCAAGAAUUGAAGACUUUUACUAUUUUUGCAAUUUCAGCACAUUGCCAAAGGUUGAUUCAUGUAUCUCUACCUUUUUAUGCUACAUUUUUUGGGUAAAUACCAGUUUUAAAGUAUAUUUAGAAGAAACUUAAAUAUAUAUGUAAUCACAUGGUGUGUUUUGAACUAUUAAAAUAUAAUAAAUAAUCCCCACAAUAUAUAUCUUAUAUUUUGAUUUGUGGAAUGAACAUCUGAAGUCAUUACAUGUAUUAUAGGGUUAUUGCAUGAAUAUUGGGGAAUAUUGUCCCGAGUAGAAUUUUAUAUUGCAUGAGCUUGCGAUUGCAAUAUAUGUUCUACGAGGGACAAUAUUCCCCAUUAUCUUACCUCCUAUACAAUUCUAGGAAUGUGAUUGGUUAAAAGCGUCCGUGUGAAGACCGUGUAUAUUUGAUAUUAGGUAAGUAGGGAGCGGGGGCUUAUUUCAUACACGGUUAGUAGUGGAGUUGCGUCCCUUUAUAUUCCAUAUUAGGAAGUAGGGAGGCAGGGCUUAUUUCAUACACAGUUAGUAAUGGUGUUAUGUCCCUUUAUAA